CGGGUCCGGCUGCCCGGCGCGGCUGCCGGGGCGCUCAGCCCUUCCUUCCCUCUCGCUGCCUCGGCGCUGGAGGCUCCGGACUAUAAAUAGCAGGUUGUCCAGCCGCCGAGCGACACACGCACGCACCGGGAGGAAAGUGCCGUGCAGGUCGCCCCGCCGGGCGAGCGCCCGGCCCCGAGCCAGUUGAUCUUCAUAUCCGCUGCUUAGAUUUUGCUCAGCUUCAACACACUAAUUAGCAUCAUUGUUGUCCUCCUCCAUCUCUUACUCGUCCUCAUCCUCUUCCCUGGCAAUCCAAUGAGAUUCAAUGCUAAAGAUCUGGCUUUGCUGGCCAGGCGACCAGCAGGUUGUUUUGACAAGGAAGGAAAACUGAAGAUUUGCAGACUGGUUGGAGAUGAAAAGUUAAUAGAACCGAGAGAGAGAUGGUGCCGACUGAAAGGAAAUCUGCUUUUUCUAAUGAAAAAUAAGACUGUCUUUGGCUCGUUGACUCCAGCGGGUACAAGGAUCUGAGGCCAAGGUGUGAUGGUGUCCAGGUCUGGGCAGCUGUCUCCUCCCUUGCUGAAGCCUCGAAUGAGGGGCUGCCUCUGUCAUACACCUUGUGCAGGUGAG
rnacentral:lncRNA from 1 species